ensembl:lncRNA
AUACACUGUACACAGAUGAACUUAAAUGGUUAUUGUUGAUGGAUGCUGGAGUGUGAAAACUGUGCUUCUUUGAAAACUGGAAUCGCAUGCGGUAUGGCAGGAUGCUGACACACCAAGAGUCCCAAGGAGGCUGCAUGUUUGUGUCUCAUUUCUGGUCAUUCUGAGUGUCACUGUGGUAUGAGGGGCAUGGGGUGGCCAUCACUAUUUGAAUGUUUUCUUUCUCUCUCCGGCCAGAAGAGUUGUGUGUAGGCAACAAACACCUUGCCUCGUACACUGAACAGGUAACCCUCCAGUCUCAGUCCACAGGUGGGCUGCAGGCUCCCCUUCGGUUGGUUGACGGUAGCCCAAGGCAGUCCGUCAUUGUGACAGUCCAGGAUGGUGGUGAUGCUUGCUAUGUAACAUCGAGUUUGCACUUCUGAUCAGCAGAGGUGGUUUUCUUAAGGCUUUGUGUGAGCAUCUUGUGUAUCCUGUAGCACACUGUGCUUGAAAAUAAUCCAUUUUCUCCCUCAUGCAUAUUUCUUCUUGCUGGGAGAGCAUCGUACCUAUAAAAUCUACUUACUCGACAUAUGGUCAAGCUUUGGUAAAUAUUGUAGUUUAGAGUAAUGAUUUUCCAAUAAUGAGGAAGUAGAGCUUAUUAAAAACUGGGUCCAGAGAAGGAGAUGGCUUAGCUGGUAAAUACACUUACAUGGAACCCUAGUGAUGUGUUCCAUGCCUUGGAGCCCACAUAAGGAUGGAAGGAACUGUCCCUGACUUCCACACACGUGUAUCGUGGCACACGUGCUUUCCCCCAACACGUGCAUGUGCGUGUGCGUGCGUGUGUGUGUGUGUGUGUGUGCGUAUGUGUGCGUAUGUGUGUGUGUCUGCGUAUGUGUCUGUGUGUGCGUGUGGGUGUGUGUGUGUGCGUAUGUGUCUGUGUGUGCGUGUGUGUGUGUAGGGGUGUGUGUGUGUGUGUGUGUGCCAUUGUGAUUGAAGCUCCAUGGUACCCUAAGUGAAAGUGCAUCCUGUACAAGGUGUUCAGGAGACACAUCUCAAUAAACACACUUCAUGAUAUUAAACAAAGAUGGUUGAUUAUUUCUGUAUAUAAAUUUGUCCUUGGAAGUUAAUUGGUGGGUAUUAUGUUGCGUUUGGUACCCAAGUAUGUCAUUGAGCUAUAUACAACAGUAAUUUAGUAAAUUUUAGGCAGCACCCAGAGUACCAACUUUAUUUCCAAGAGCUGAUUGAAGGCAAAGAAAAUAAUAGAUGCUGAUAUACAAAAUAUGGUGUUUCUCAUUUGUUACGACUGUUACUAAUUAAUAAACUCUUG